AAGUCGUUAGAAAAAAAAUUCUUCGAUUCAAAAAAUUUUCAUCUUCCAAAUAUCAGCACAGUUGGCCUCACUGCACACCGCACAUUUAAAUGUAAACAAAAAUUUGGAAUGUCGUUUCAAGCUCCAAUUUCAAAUUCCAAAUUUGUUUGUGUUCGCCUGAUUGGAAUCAUCAACGGAUUCUGCAAGCUUGAUUGAGUACAAUCCUGGAAAAUAUUGCUCAAUUCGAUUUUGAGUUCUGUAGAUGGCACGUACUCAACGAAACAAGGCCACGGCAGGCCAUUUGGGUAUGCGGGAGGCUCUAUGAACUAAACUGCGCCGAGAAAUGCUCACCCUCAAAGGUGGCGCCGGUGCACUCGAGCAGGGUUUCGAAACGUCCAGAAUCAGAAACGCUAGGAUCGGGUGUUUUUUGUUGGGGAACUCGACAUUCCUUUCCGACUGCACCAUGGUCAGAACGAUCUCGGAUGAAUUAAGUAUAAGGGCGCUUGAAUCUAAGUUCGGAAUACCAUCGGAACUGGCCCUUGCGAGGGUGCUGCCUCGUCAAAGAAUUGCGCCGGCAGUCUGAAAUAACUAAGGAUCGUCUCCAAAAACCGGAGCAGCUUUUUCGGCGACUGGACAUCUCAAGUACCGCAGACAUGCACGUAGUAGCUCCUCCAACCGAUAAGGCAACCGCGGAAAGUGGAGUUAGUGGGCCAAAGGCGAUUCCUAAUCGCAAACCGGUUGGCAUCGAUGCAGGAAGGACUCCUUUUAAAAAGUUAAAGUGAUGGUACUUAAUAUAAAAACAAUUAAA